GGCCCCGUCGUCUGGUGGCCCUGGACGCCGCACUCUCACGGCGGUAGCGAGGGUUCGAAUCCCCUUCGGGGCU
rnacentral:tRNA from 1 species